AGAGUUUGAUCAUGGCUCAGAGUGAACGCUGGCGGCGUGCCUAACACAUGCAAGUCGAACGAGAACGGAUUACAGCUUGCUGUAAUUGUCAGCUAAGUGGCGCACGGGUGAGUAAUAUAUAGUUAAUCUGCCCCAAAGAAGAGAAUAAUUGUUGGAAACGACUUGUAAUGCUCUAUAUGCCUUUAAGACAUAAGUCUGCAAGGGAAAUAUUUAUAGCUUUGGGAUGAGACUGUACGGUAUCAGCUAGUUGGUGAGGUAAUGGCUCACCAAGGCUAUGACAUCUAACUGGUUUGAGAGGAUGAUCAGUCACACUGGAACUGAGACACGGUCCAGACUCCUACGGGAGGCAGCAGUGGGGAAUAUUGCACAAUGGAGGAAACUCUGAUGCAGCAACGCCGCGUGGAGGAUGACACAUUUCGGUGCGUAAACUCCUUUUAUAUGAGAAGAUAAUGACGGUA
rnacentral:rRNA from 1 species